UCUACAAUCGGCGCGAAACCAAUGCUUUUGCAGGCGCCAUUAUUCACGGAGAUAGUCUCUGUCAAAAUCUCAUUUUAAAGUCGGAUUUAGGAUUUUGAGAAUGGUUCCUACACUUCCUUUGUUAAUUAUUUUUUGUUAAAUGUAACAAACUGUAUCGUUAACGUUGUUGCUGCCUGGCUUGUUUGGCAAAUGAAUGUCGGAGCCGUUGCAUUCAACAUUUUCAGCAUACCGUCACAUCUUAACGUUAAUUUACUCGACGUGGAGGAGCAGGCAGAGCAAUUGUCAAGAAAAGAAGACGCCAUUAACGUUACAACUUUUUAUUUAAAAGAGAUUAUAUGAGCAGAAGAUCUGACAACACGGAGUUCUUCAAGGAUAACGCACCUUUUCUGCCAAACGAGGUCAUAAUUGCUGCUGUACUUUGCAUCCCAAGCCCCCCCUGCAUUCUCAUCACGGAUUGCUGUCACACAAGUUACCAUUUCCUCCCCCGUUGUGGUCGGCCGAGCUACACAUUCUCUUUGUUUUAUUUUAAACAUAAAUAUCCAGAGGAGAAUGGCACCUACGCUGGAAUUCAUUCAAAUGUAAGGAACAUAUCUAAUAAAACUGUCUAUAAAGCAUUUUGUUAUGUUGCCAUUUAGUUGAAAAUAAUAAGGGUUAGUUCACUCAAAAGCAAAAAUUCUGUCAUUAAUUACUCACCCUCUUGUUGUUUCGAACCUGUAAGACCUUCAUUCAUCUUCAGAACACAAAUUAAGAUAUUUUUGAUGGAAUCUGAGAGCUUUCUGACCCUCCAUAGAAAGCAAGUGCCCUACC